GACGAACGCUGGCGGUAUGCUUAACACAUGCAAGUCGAACGAGAAGUCUUUUAUUGAACCUUCGGGGGAUAUAAGAGACAGACAGUGGCGAACGGGUGAGUAACGCGUGGGCAACCUACCUAUCGGAGCGGGAUAGCCUCGAGAAAUCGGGAGUAAAACCGCAUAACACGGAUAUAUCGCAUGAUGAAUCCGUCAAAACUCCGGUGCCGAUAGAUGGGCCCGCGUCUGAUUAGCUAGUUGGUAAGGUAAGGGCUUACCAAGGCAACGAUCAGUAGCCGGUCUGAGAGGGCGAACGGCCACACUGGAACUGAGACACGGUCCAGACUCCUACGGGAGGCAGCAGUGGGGAAUAUUGCGCAAUGGGGGCAACCCUGACGCAGCAAUACCGCGUGAGUGAAGAAGGUUUUCGGAUCGUAAAGCUCUGUUAUUGGGGAAGAAGCAGUGACGGUACCCAAUGAGGAAGUCCCGGCUAACUACGUGCCAGCAGCCGCGGUAAUACGUAGGGGACGAGCGUUGUCCGGAAUCACUGGGCGUAAAGGGCGCGUAGGCGGUUUUAUAAGUCAGAUGUGAAAGGUACCGGCUCAACCGGUGACGUGCAUUUGAAACUGUAAGACUUGAGUACUGAAGAGGCAAGCGGAAUUCCUAGUGUAGCGGUGAAAAUGCGUAGAUAUUAGGAAGAACACCGGUGGCGAAGGCGGCUUGCUGGGCAGAUACUGACGCUGAGGUGCGAAAGCGUGGGGAGCGAACAGG
rnacentral:rRNA from 1 species